rnacentral:rRNA from 1 species
UACACUCCUACGGGAGGCAGCAGUAGGGAAUCUUCCACAAUGGGUGCAAACCUGAUGGAGCAAUGCCGCGUGAGUGAAGAAGGUCUUCGGAUCGUAAAGCUCUGUUGUUAGAGAAGAACACGUGCUAGGUAACUACUAGCGCCUUGACGGUAUCUAACCAGAAAGUCACGGCUAACUACGUGCCAGCAGCCGCGGUAAUACGUAGGUGACAAGCGUUGUCCGGAUUUAUUGGGCGUAAAGGGAGCGCAGGCGGUCUGUUUAGUCUAAUGUGAAAGCCCACGGCUUAACCGUGGAACGGCAUUGGAAACUGACAGACUUGAAUGUAGAAGAGGAAAAUGGAAUUCCAAGUGUAGCGGUGGAAUGCGUAGAUAUUUGGAGGAACACCAGUGGCGAAGGCGAUUUUCUGGUCUAACAUUGACGCUGAGGCUCGAAAGCGUGGGGAGCGAACAGGAUUAGAAACCCCAGUAGUCCCAUGA